GUGGGAAUGCAAACAGGUGCAGCCACUGUGGAAAACAGUAUGGAGGUUCCUCAAAAAAUGGGAAACAGAAUUACCACAUGAACCAGCAAUUUCAUUUCUG